rnacentral:rRNA from 1 species
UGGGGAAUUUUGCACAAUGGGGGAAACCCUGAUGCAGCGACGCCGCGUGAUUUAGAAGGCCUUCGGGUUGUAAAAAUCUUUUUUACGGGAUGAAAAUGACAGUACCGUAAGAAUAAGGUCCGGCUAACUACGUGCCAGCAGCCGCGGUAAUACGUAUGGACCGAGCGUUGUCCGGAAUCAUUGGGCGUAAAUGGUACGUAGGCGGCCUAGUAAGUUAGAAGUGAAAUAAUAUAGCUCAACUAUAUAAAGCUUUUAAAACUGCUAGGCUUGAGAGAUGGAAAGGAAAGUGGAAUUCCUAGUGUAGCGGUGAAAUGCGCAGAUAUUAGGAAGAAUACCGGUGGCGAAGGCGACUUUCUGGUCAUCAUCUGACGCUGAGGUAAGAAAGCGUGGGUAGCAAACAGG